GACGGAGGGUGCAAGCAUUAAUCGGAUUUAUUGGGCGUAAAGGGCGUCUAGGUGGGAAGGAAAGUCAAAUGUGAAAUUCCGGGGCUCAACCCCGGAACUGCAUAUGAAACUGCCUUUCUAGAGGAUAAGAGGGGAAAGCGGAAUUCCAUGUGGAGCGGUGAAAUGCGUAGAUAUAUGGAGGAACACCGGUGGCGAAAGCGGCUUUCUAGCUUAUGCCUGACACUGAAGCGCGAAAGCGAGGGGAGCAAACAGG
rnacentral:misc_RNA from 1 species